AAUUUUGGACAAUGGGGGCAACCCUGAUCCAGCCAUCCCGCGUGUGCGAUGAAGGCCUUCGGGUUGUAAAGCACUUUUGGCAGGACAGAAAAGGCUCUGGCUAAUACCUGGAGCUGCUGACGGUACCUGCAGAAUAAUCACCGGCUUACUUCGUGCCAGCAGCCGCGGUAAUACGUAGGGUGCAUGCGUUAAUCGGAAUUACCGGGCGUAAAGCGUGCGCAGGCGGUUCGGCAAGAAGGAUGUGAAAUCCCAGGGCUUAACCUUGGAACUGCAUUCUUAACUGCCGGGCUAGAGUAUGUCAGAGGGGGGUAGAAUUCCGCGUGUAGCAGUGAAAUGCGUAGAGAUGCGGAGGAAUACCGAUGGCGAAGGCAGCCCCCUGGGAUAAUACUGUCGCUCAUGCACGAAAGCGUGGGGAGCAAAC
rnacentral:rRNA from 1 species